GCUUCGAUAGCUCAGGUGGUAGAGCGGAGGACUGUAGUAGUGAAUACUUAGGCAUCCUUGAGUCGCUGGGUCGAUUCCCAUUCGAAGGA
rnacentral:tRNA from 1 species